GGGUGCGAUCAUACCAGCACUAAUGCACCGGAUCCCACCAGAACUCCGAAGUUAAGCGGGCUUAGCCGAGAGUAGUACUAGGAUGGGUGACCUCUUAGGAAGUCCUCGUGUUGCAACCC
rnacentral:rRNA from 1 species